rnacentral:rRNA from 1 species
UGGGGAAUUUUGCACAAUGGGGGGAACCUUGAUGCAGCGACGCCGCGUGAGGGAUGGAGGCCUUCGGGUUGUGAACCUCUUUCGCUCGUGUGCAAGCCGCUAUUUGGGUAGUGGUGAGUGUAGCGGGUAAAGAAGCGCCAGCUAACUACGUGCCAGCAGCCGCGGUAAUACGUAGGGCGCGAGCGUUGUCCGGAUUUAUUGGGCGUAAAGGGCUUGUAGGCGGUUUGUCGCGCCUGUCGUGUAAUCCUCUGGCUUAACUGGGGGUGUGCGGUGGGUACGGGCAGGCUUGAGUGCGGUAGGGGAGAUUGGAAUUCCUGGUGUAGCGGUGGAAUGCGCAGAUAUCAGGAGGAACACCGGUGGCGAAGGCGGGUCUCUGGGCCGUUACUGACGCUGAGGAGCGAAAGCGUGGGGAGCGAACAGG